rnacentral:tRNA from 1 species
AGAUGUAGGGUUCAUCCCAAGGCUGCGGGUUCGAGCCCCGCCGUGGGCU